rnacentral:rRNA from 1 species
GACGAACGCUGGCGGCGCGCCUAACACAUGCAAGUCGAACGGAGCUGCGAGAAGCUUGCUUUUCUUAGCUUAGUGGCGAACGGGUGAGUAACGCGUGAGUAACCUGCCCUGGAGUGGGGGACAACAGUUGGAAACGACUGCUAAUACCGCAUAAGCCCACGAUCCGGCAUCGGCUUGAGGGAAAAGGAUUUAUUCUCUUCAGGAUGGACUCGCGUCCAAUUAGCUAGUUGGUGAGGUAACGGCCCACCAAGGCGACGAUUGGUAGCCGGACUGAGAGGUUGAACGGCCACAUUGGGACGGAGACACGGCCCGGACUCCUACGGGAGGCAGCAGUGGGGGAUAUUGCACAAUGGGGGGAACCCUGAUGCAGCGACGCCGCGUGGAGGAAGAAGGUUUUCGGAUUGUAAACUCCUGUCGUUAGGGACGAUAAUGACGGUACCUAACAAGAAAGCACCGGCUAACUACGUG